UUAGAGUGGUAUUUUUCUAACCUGAAAAAAUAAGAUGGAUUUUGUUCACCCUCCUCUAACCAUUUCUUCCUAGAUCUGACAAAGCCUCCCUCUGCUUUCAGUUCAUACAUAUCAUCCAACUUGUUUUGUAGCUCAAACAGAACAGAUUAGUCCUCCUCAGAGACUUUCAACAGGCUUUUGAACAAGAGAGGUGAUCUUUGUAAUUACACUUUCUUCUUCAGCUCUCCUCGUCUUGGCAAGAAUACUCCCAUAUUUUCUUAAAUAUUUUACAAUCUCAUAUUGAAAAAGCUCCCAGUUAUUAAUGUAUGAAUUGUCAUUUAUAGCUUUGUUCCAAAAGUGUGUAAAGAAAUUGUUUAUCUCCAUCUUGACCAACUCAUGUUUUAAUAUUGUCACGCCCUGACCAUAGAGAGCCCUUGGGUCUCUAUGGUAUAGUAGGUCAGGGCAUGACUGGGGGUGUUCUAUGUGUUUUAUUUCUAUGUUGGUGUGCUUGGUAUGGUUCCCAAUCAGAGGCAGCUGUUUAGCAUUGUCUCUGAUUGGGGAUCAUAUUUAGGCAGCCAUUACCCCACUGUGUUUUGUGGGAUCUUGUUUCUGUGUAGUUGCCUAUGAGCACUGCUUGAGCUUCACGUAUCGUUUAUGCUUUAUUGUUUUGUGCGUUUCACUUAAAUAAAAUAUGUGGAACCUAGAUCACGCUGCAUGUUGGUCUGAGUUUGCUUCCAGUUCGCACGAUGAGCCUGACAAAUAUAGAGCUAUUAAGCUUUCAGUAGGAUGCUCUGCCAAGGCCAUUAUCAGUGAUAAAAAGUUUAAUGUCAAUAUAAAUAGCUCUAUGAUCAGUAAGGGGAGUGGCAAGGAUGUUAACAGAAAUACCCUGUUUAUCAAAAUAUUUAGACACAAGCCAAACAUCUAUGCGUGAUUUUCUGGAUCAUGCCUUAUUACUCCAUGUGAAAGACUUGUCAUUAGGAAACUUUACUCUCCAAAUAUCUAUAAUAUCAAACCUUUCCAUAAACUGCCUCAAACGUGUAUUCAUAGAAGUGGACUUUCCCGGAAGCCAUCUAUCAAUUAAAUUAUUCGUAGAAAUAUUAAAAUCCCCACCUACUAUAAGUAAAGCAUACGCUUUUCUAAGGAUUCAAGUAAGUGAUCAUUUUCAAGUUUGGAAUUGUACCCAUAAAUGUUGGUAAUAAUAAUGAUGAUGUUGUUACAGUUGAUAACAAGACAAAGAAAGUGACCAAAAGAGUCACAGUCGGAGUGCAAAAUCCUUCCAUUAAAAUGAUUCUUUAGAGUGGUAACUCCAGCAGAGAGUUCAGAACCAUGAGAGAGACAUACUGCCCUACCAAGCAAAAAGGCAGUAACUGCUCAUUUGGUCGAAAAUGAGUUAAUGUCAUUUUUGCUACAUUAAAUACAUGCUUAAUCAUUUGGACAAGUAUCCUGCCUCUACUGUAUUGUGUUUUGCAGAAAAUGGGGGUCAUGUUAGCAGUAACUGCAUAAAGUUACUGUGAAACCAAGGUAAAUAAAAGCAAUUUUUCUCAGUUCCAUGCUAUGAGUAGUUAGUGUCUUUUCGCUUGGUAGGGCAGCAUACAUCAUUACCCCACUGAGAUCUCCAGAAGUUGACGUCGGUAGCAACUGAAUGAGACUCUUGAAAAAAACAUAAAUCUGUUUAAGCUGUUUGGCAAAUAAAAAUAAGGCUUUGCGCUUUACAUUAUUUCUUAACCCCCUAGCAUUGAGUGAAACUAUAGACAACAACAAAGUGGAAUUUUGAACAAAGUACAACGAGCUAAACAACAAUCACAAAUCAAAUAAGAAUGAAAGGAAACCAGCGUUGCACACCAUAUAGAUAUAAAUGAUUGAGUGAGAGUAGUUUUGCAUAACAAAGCUAACCGCCAGAACAAGAAACAACAAAGAGCUUGCUCACUGACUAUACUCCAGGUAAAAAUAUCAGAAGUGAGAGAACAAAUAAAAUAGUAAAUAUCCAUUACUCCAGUAGUUUUGUGCAGUUAGAACGAAGGUUAAAUCACCUUAGAGCCGGGAGUGAGAUCUGCUCACAUCAGAGGUAGCUAUCUAGGUAGCCUAUGUUGACCAACAGGCACAGCCUAUGACAGUUCUCAAGGAGUAAGGUUGAUUUUGGAUCAGUUGAUGAAAGCGCGCCCUCCGAUGAAGUAAGCCGCUUUCACUUCUUUUCAUGCUUUUUCCACAGCUGGCCACAGUUUCUCUCUCCUUUCUCUGUCUGCUUUUGAGAGGUAUUCAGCAAACCGUAGAUUGUUAUCGCAUAGGAAAGUACAUUUCUUGGCUGCUUUCCAAAUGGCAUCCCUGUAGAUCCAUGAUGUGAACUGGAGAAUGACACCUCUGGGCUUGGAGUCACCCUGCCUUCUCGUGCCGAGGCGAUGUACAGUGUCAACAACAUCUGUUAGCUUAGCCUUCUCCACAGGUAGGAUAGCUUGGCAGACUUUGAUGGUCUCUUGCUGCACGUUCUCCCCAUCUGACUCGGGAACUCCAUACAGUCUUAGAUUCCACCGUCUGGAAUAGCUUUCAAGUUCCGCGAUUCUUCUUUGGCACAAGUCCAUCUUUCCCUCCUCCUUUCGACAUGCUUUUCAAUGUGGGCGACCUUCUUCUUAACGUUCUUACAUGCAUGCAAAGUCAACAGUUUUUUUUUUAAGCCCUCGAUUUUCAUUGCGUUGUCGCCAACCAUUUUUUCUAUGGCAUCGUACCUUGCAUUGAUGAGCCUGGAAAGAGUGGCGAUAACAUCAUUAUUGGCAGCGGCAUCUGGGCCCAGUUCAAACAUGCCUUUCUUGGAAGCUGGAGGUUUGCUUCUGGUUAUAGGCAAAGAAGGAAAAUCCUCCUCUGACACGGAAAGUGUCAUAGAAUCUGUCAGACCAGUAUAGUUGUGGCAGUUGUCAAUCAAAGCAUUUGCCUCCUGUGUAACGACAUUGGAUGAUGGCGGAGCAUUGCUAGCUGAGGAGGUAGCCAUAAAAUGUCUCUUUCUGUCAGUGCGCUGUGACAUUUUGGAAAAUAUCAUCUUAAAUCAUCAAUAACCUGGUGUUUUUAGCAAGCGAAGUAUUAAUUUGGAAGUUCAAAAUAAUACACUUCUCACUAUCUUACAAAAGUUGGUAUGCAGAGCUCGGUAGGACACGUGCGCUCAAGCUGCCAUCUUGGAGCCUCUCCUAAACAACUCCUUUCCACAUGCCCACUACUUUCCUUUCGACACACCCAAUCUUUGACACGCCCACUACUUUCC
rnacentral:lncRNA from 1 species